rnacentral:tRNA from 1 species
GCCGACGUAGCUCAGGCGGUAGAGCGCGUCCUUGGUAAGGACGAGGUCGCCGGUUCAAACCCGGCCGUCGGCC